UGAAAAGUGUGUUAGCAUCCCUGCCUCAGGUUCCAAAGCACAGUGUGGGUCAGAGCAUCCUUGCACUCAUGCUUUCCCUUUUUUUUCCAUGCUCUUCAUCAAAGAAGCCCGUAUUAAAAUGAAUUAUCAGGCCAGCACUAAUAAGAAGAUGCAACAUGAAAGUCAGCUCUCUGCCAAGAAGGACGACAAACUCUUCUUCAACGAUGAGGACAAAGAAAUACUUUAUCAGAUUAAAAGCCUAGCAGCUCUGGAAAGAAUCAUUGAAAGUCUCCGGAAAUCUUUAGGGAGUUCGCUCAUGAAAAGAAGAAAGAAGUAUAAACAUUUGUUCAGGGGAGGCAAAAACCGCAAGCGGAGAGAGAGCCUAGACUAAGAGCCCAGGACUGCCCGGGGGACUGCCCGCUCACCCCCCCAACUAGGAAGAAAGACGGAGCGGAGUUCCUAAGCAUUCUGUAUAAAGAAGAGCCGUUUUAUUCAAGGAGUGCCAAAUAAAGCGAACCUAUUUAAAUAUUAAGUUAGAGGCAAUGUGGUUUUUUUUCCUUAAACAAAAAAAGAAAUGAAAAUCUAAUUGAGCCUGAAAAAUAAGAAUGUCCAAAGCUUCUAUUGCCUACCAGGAGAAGCUUUGAAAAAAAGUGUAACCUCAGAGACUGGGCCACCAUCAGGCUCCUCCAGAGGAGCAGAACCUACAAGACGGGAGUAUAACGUGGAAAGAUCAUAAAAUAAUCAAGAGGCUUUAGAUCAUGUGAUCAUGGAGUCUGGCAAGUCCCAAGAGCUGCACCCAGGAGAGACGAUGGUUUGGUUUCAGUCUGAGUCUGAAGCCUGACAGCCUGGAGACCCAGGAAGAGCCAGUGUUCCUGCCCAGCAUCAUGCAAGGGGCACGGCCAGGUGUCCAGUGCAUGCACACAGGCGGAGUACGCUUCAUGGCCUCGUGAAGGAUCAGAAAACACACUCUGGGUUUCUGUGACGAUGACCCGCGUUCCAGGGAGCCGUGCGGUUUGACCCUCACGGAGGGCGGUGCUGACAUCACACCUCCCCGUGGCCAGCUGGUUCACAGGCACGUCCAACCCGAAGGGUGCCUAACUGUUUUGAAUCUGACCCCUGAGUGAAACCAAGAUCCCUACUGAGAGGAAAGCUUUCAGGUCUCCAGGAAUGACCCAACUCUGGGUAAUUUCCACUGCAUUGGGACGCUGCUUCCUCAGAAUGAAGGUGGCUGUGGCAGAGAGACCCGGCGUGCCCUAGGCGCCGGCGCCUCAAGGCCGUAAGUCUUGCCGCCAUCAG
rnacentral:lncRNA from 1 species